rnacentral:rRNA from 1 species
UACAGAGGGUGCGAGCGUUGUCCGGAAUCACUGGGCGUAAAGGGCGCGUAGGUGGCGCUCCAAGUCUGUGGUGAAAGCUCGAUGCUCAACAUCGAGUCGGCCACGGAGACUGGAGGGCUCGAGCACUGUAGGGGCAGAUGGAAUUCCGGGUGUAGCGGUGGAAUGCGUAGAUAUCUGGAGGAACACCGGUGGCGAAGGCGGCAUCCUGGACCGGCAUUGACGCUGAGGCGCGAAAGCCAGGGGAGCAAACGGG